GGGUUUGCUGCCUAGAUACUAUAGUAAGGAACUCUGUAGAAACAGAUAAGAGUUCCUGGGAGCAAUCAUAUAUCUUGAGGCUGUCUAAGAAACACAAAGCAAAUCCAGGCUUUCGGUUGGCUGAAGAAUGGAGUUUUGAUGGCUGAAAAAGGUACUGUCUCUGAGGAGAGUAUCUUCCACCAUUUGACCCUCUUACCAACAUCAUCUGUAGCUUGCAGUGUUUGUGCAGUCAUCACAGUCCCGUAAAGAUUUGAAAGUUUUAAGGAUGUUCAUGGACCUCCUCUGAGAGUUUCUUCUCAUGAGAGUUUAACUUCAUUUGAGAUCACUUGGUGUUCCAUGCAUGGGGUGGCUACAGAACUGAGUCCUCUAUGACUGAAGAUAUGGGCAUUGGAAGACUCUCUCUUUAACAGUGAUAUAGUUCUUCACACAUUUUCUAAUCUCUGAAAGUACUCUCUGCAUUGGGUGGGAAGUGUGGCACUGCAAAGUAAGAAGGUGGUUGUCCUGUGAAAACCAUCUUACAGGGCCAAGAAGUAAGAUGUGCAGGGAUUGACUAGAACAGGUGAGUGUGUGGAAGGACCGAAGUGAUGGAGCUGCUUUUAUCCUCUGUGGAGUAAGGAAGCUGUUUACUUUCUCCAGCAUACUGUUAAUCAGGCAUCAUGUCAGAUGCUCACUUCCUCCAAUUUAACCUGCUUGUAGUGCACAGAAUCGUAUGGAGGGUGAGAGGUCUUUAAAAACAAAAACAAAACCCCCCCACAAAAACUAAAAGAUUGCCUUCCCUGAUAUCAUCAUUAAGGACCCAUCAUCAUGCAGACUCCACCCCUAGGAGGGGGAGGGAUGAAAGGCUGCAUAUGCCACUGCAUAUGUCCAGCUCAGUUUCUCUCGCUGAGCGCUGGUGCGAGGAUUUGGCACAUAUUGCAUGCAGUCUUGAGAAACUUUUGAAUCUCUUUUUUAAAUUUUGUUUUUUUUAAAUGUGGUGUCAGGGCCUGGGAAGUUAAACAUAAGAAAUACAUUAAAUACUGUUAGACAUGAUUUUUAAAAAAUACCAUAACCAAAAAGUUCCAAGUCAAAAUUUCCAAUCAGAUCCAUCCUGCUUUUCUUACUGUAACAACUGCUACCAUUCAGAUCCCUAAAAUUACCCUCUGUUAAGAUAAUCUCUGCAUUCAUUAUUGGAUACAACAAGAUGGAUUCAGGACACAGGUGAUUCACCCCAUACUUAGCAUUUUGGUAGAUUUUGCCAGUAGACCUGAUGUCAAUACAAGUUGUAUACAACUUAAUAGGAAAUUACUUUGGUUGUUGCUUAGUCCCUGCCUUCCACCCUUCCCCCCCCCCCCCCUUCUGCCUACUACAGAAAUUGACCUGUGUGGUUACUGAAUAGUUGUGUGGUUUUUUGUUUAUAUUUUUUGUAAAGAAGAGUUAUUGCUUCAAGUCUGCUUUAAAGCUGACGCUAAUUAUACUAAAUAAAAAAUGUAACAAUGCAAUCUGACUUUCUUAAAGAUAAUCAACUAAAAUCAAGGGCCUGAGCUAGCAUUUUGUGUUCAGGCAAAACUCUCAUCGACUGCAGUGUGGGAGUCUUGCCUGAUUAAAGGUAUGCAAUACUGGGCCCCAAAUUAUAAAAUCAUCUCAUACAUUCAUUGUAAUGAGAGCUUGGAAGACUGUUAAUCCAAAAAUAAAAUUAUAUGAACAAAUCA